UACAGAGGGUGCAAGCGUUGCUCGGAUUUACUGGGCGUAAAGCGUACGCAGACGGUGAAGAAGGUCGGAUGUGAAAGCCCCGGGCUCAACCCGGGAACUGCAUCCGAAACCGCUUCGCUAGAGUAUGAGAGAGGAAAGCGGAAUUCCUGGUGUAGAGGUGAAAUUCGUAGAUAUCAGGAGGAACACCUGCGGCGAAGGCGGCUUUCUGGCUCAUUACUGACGUUCAGGUACGAAAGCGUGGGUAGCAAACAGG
rnacentral:rRNA from 1 species